rnacentral:lncRNA from 1 species
CUCGCAUACUCCAGCUGGCCUUGCAGAGCCUGUGGCCUGGCCGCCUUGUCCUUUUCAGGAGCCAGGGAGCCGGGAGAUGCGACCAGAGCCGGGGCCGUGGGCCGGCCUGUGGUGCCUCUUCCUCCCCACAGGCAGUUGACUGAACACGGCGCACCCUAGACGGGCCUCUGAGCCGGUUUUUGGGAAUAGCUGUUUUAUUUUAUUUACAGUCAAUUACAGGAAAUAAGUCACCUCUUAGUAUUCUGGGCAACGGUUGGCUCCGAGCUUCGAGAAUUACAGGACGAGCAUGGAGUUGGGAGGAGUCUUGUCCAUGUUGCCACCCAGGAACUUAUACCCCUGGGAAGGAGGCCAGGCCUCAGAGGUGCCCAGCCUGGGCCCCGGGCCCCGAGCUGCAGGCGCUGUGCACGUGGAGGUUUUUCACAAGCGUGUUCCCAGAGAGCCGCUGCUUGCUACCCCUACGGCAGCAGGCUCCCUCUGCUUCUCAUGACCAUGUCUUCAGACCGGCCCGUGGCUCGGGCGUUGGGAGCACAGGGGCCUGGGCUGCUCCCACACGGUCAGAAAAUCAGGGAUGUGUUGUCUGUCCAGGUGCUGAGGGACCACGUUCCUGAGCAAGCGCUCCCACGGGGUGUGGCUGUCAGAGUCGUCACACGGUGGGGCUGAAGUUCUCCAGCUGGGAAGUGGCCUCAGUUCGGCGGCCAGUCCAGGCCCGCGGUUGCCUCCCUCCCCAUCCCAAGACUGCUCCAUGCCUACUAGUUUCUCUCUCUGUCUCCCUCUCUCUCUCGUAAAUGACCUUUGAGAGUUUGAAGAACUGUUAAUCUUUCCCCAAAGUUUAUUGAGGAAUGGACAAAUUAGGAAAAGUUUUCUUUUUUUAUUUGUAUUAAGAUUUCUGGUUUGUAACUUUUUUUUUUUGUUUUUUGCUGAGGAAAAUUGGCCCUGAGCAAACAUCUGUUUCCAAUCCUCCUCUUUUUUUGGGUGAGGAAGAUUAUCCCUGAGCUAACAUCCGUGCCCACCUUCCUCUGUUUUGUAUGUGCGACGCCUCUACAUACACACACUGUCAGCAUGGCUGCUGAGUGGUCUAGGUCCACACCCAGGAUCUGAACCUGCAAACCCCAGGCCGCUGAAGGGGAGCAUGCAAAACCCUAACCACUGUGCCACGGGGCCGGCCCCUAGCCGUGUUUUAGUUGAAGAAGUUAGGUCAGUUUUUAUCCAGCCGUCACUACUGGACUUGGCGCGUAUGUCCUGGCACCAGCUGCAGAGUUUCCAACAGAAACUGGGGAAGCGGGAUUGCAGUGGUUGUUUCACCUGACCUGGCGACUCCACAGUGGGGACCUGACCGGUUUGCUGGGUUUCUGCUGGUUCCCCGUCUACCUCCUCUGCUGUGGGCUCUCACUGUUGGGUGUUGCACCGGGCAGCUUGAGCUGUGCCGCAUAACCAGCCACCCGGAUUCAGAGCUGAGCGCGUCCUCUGAGCUUGUGAACCUGUGCUGGGUGGUUCUGUCACUGCUCAGCACCACUGCUUGUCUGCCGCCCCUGGGCUCUCACCCCGGCCCGCUGGCCCCGUGUGUCACGGCAGGGGCGCUCCAGGAGCCAUGAGAGGGCACUGAUGCGCCAGCACCCUCCAGUCAGUGCUGGCAUGGGGACGCGCGGCUGCCCCCUCAGCCCAGCCCGGCUCUCGGGUGGCAUGUCCACACUGCCGCCUCGUGGGACCAGCUGUAAGGCCAACUUGCGGGGGCUGUGGGCCUGCAGGGGAGCACCCACCACUUUCUCAGGCUGCACUGAGGGCAUCUCUUCCCAAAGGUUCACAGGGAAGGAGGGAAGCAGAGUGAAUGAGCAGGUGCGGCCCGUCGUGCUUGGAAGCCCGAUGCCCAGUGAGUGCCAGGACUGUGCUGGCCGGGGAGGCGUGGGGAGCCGCUGCUGCUCGGGGACAGCCCCAUCGAGGCCUGUGCCCUCAGCAUAGAAGUCUGCUCCACCCUGGGAGCUCAAGUGGUGCUGGGCAGCCGUCCUGCGUGUGGCUCUGGGUCUGAACAGCUUGCAGGACUCCUGCCCCAGGGCUCACACCUGCCGUGGGUCACGCGGCCCCUGAUCUUACUGUUGCCUCUCGCUGUCGCACGUGGCCCGGUCUGUCUGUUUGGAGGACUUGGAGGCUGACCCAGGUCCUGGCGGACGUUGGGGUAGUGGGGGAGGAGGAUGCAUUAGGGUCGAGGGACGGGGAAGGCAGAGGAGGAACGGGAGAGGGGCGCUUGCAGGACUUCGAGACACGAGUGAGGCUGUGAGGACGAUGGACGGGAGACAAAGGCUCCAUCCUGUGUGACCCCACAGGGGACCCUCUGGAAGGGAUGAGCUAGGGGACAGUGACAGGACCAGUGUUCCCGGGGGGAUGGAUGGGGACAGAUGGACAGACGGAGCACGGGGGCUUCAGGGCAGUGAAACUCCUCUGCACGACCCAUAACGGUGGACACACAUCAUUACGUAUCUGUCCAAACCCACAGACCAUCUGACACCAAGCCUGGUGACGACCAGGGUCGUUUCCUGGGCAUCUUUGUCCCCAGGGGCCGGGACGGACAGGCCACAUCCACCUGUCAGGUGGCCAGGAGAGUUGCCGGCUGGGGAGGCAUCACUGGGGUCCUGGGACAUCUGGGGGGACGCAGCUCAACCUGGGCGGGCGGCCGAGUGGGGCCUGGUCCAGGACGGGGUGUGUUCUGAAGCCCAGGCCCUCCCGCCGCGUGGGGAUGCUCGGGGUUGCCAGCGCUUAUUCUCGGGACUCCUGUGUUUGUGGGUUUGCUUUUUUCUGCAGCACAAACUCCCCACUGUGUGUGGGGCUGAGCUCUCCAUGCGCACAGGGCUGGCCCGCUGUCCACGUGUGUGGCCGCUGUGCCGGGCUUGCAGUGGACACUCAUAAACUUCGGUGGGAGGAGGGAGGGAGGAUGCCCGAAGGAGGAGGGAGAAGCAGUGACAGAUGAAACCCCCUUCUUCCUCUCGGGGUUGGGGUUAGAAGGUGGAAGCGGAGCGGGGAGCCAGUGAGCACACUGAUCUGCAGGGAAGACUGUGCCCUGUGGGCCAGGACGCAGCCCAGGUGGCUGGGGGCCAAGGGCCGAGGGUCAGGGUGAGCGGGCCCCAGGGGGCGUCUGGAGUGCGUGAGGCGCUGCCCCCUCCAUGCAGUGGGGCCACCCGGGCCAGCUUCUCUCUGGCCGGGAGGGAGGAAGGCCUGGGAGGGGUGUCUGGAGGCUGGCCAGUGCCAGAGGCUUGUGUCACAGAAGACGGGGUUGUGUGGCCCACACACGCCUGUCCUGUGUCCUGCCACCCGCAGCAGAGCCACACGCUCUCUGCGCCCGUCUGCUCCAAAGGCCUCGCAGGGGCGGGAGGGGGACCCUCAGGGACGCCAUAUUCCCACCCACCUCACAUCCUCCGGCAUUUUGGUUCCUAUGGGUGUGGGUGUGGGUGUGGGCCGGGCCGGGCCCCGCAGUCCUGCCCUGCUGCUCCAGGUGCGUCCAUGGCGGGUUCUUCCUGAGAGAUUCUCCCAGAAGCCGUCUGGGCUUCAGGAGGCAGCGCCUCCCCCAGGCUCCGUGCCCGCAGCACCCAGCGUGGGCCCAGGCGACUCAGCCCCCACUGCAGCCUUGGCCCUUUCUGCGGGAGAGGGCGGAGGUGCCGGGUGUCCGUGUGUCCGCUGGCCGCAUCCUCAGUGCACCUGCUGUCUGCUGCACUGUUGGCGUUUAUGUGAUCGGCUCCUACCUUACGGUGUGUGUUAGCGCUACAUCCUGCAUUGUGGUUACGUUCUGCCCUGUCGGUACUUUGUGCGCUGUCGUUAUUUUGGACGUUCUGGUUACUUGGUACUUUGUCGUGACGUUCCACACUGUCGUUCCAUAUUGUUACCUUGUAUGUUGUGGUACUUUCUGCCCUGUCCUGACAUUCUGCGUUGUCGUGUGGAACCGGCACCAAGACUACAGAAGCCAGAAUACUCACCCCCUCACCCGAUUUUUGAAGAGAAAACUUUCGGGUGUCCUUUGCAGCUUCAGUAUGUUUUCUCAGCCUCUAACGAGCAGGGGAAGCUGGGGCGGGCAGACCCCUUGUUCCCAGUGCGUUUUCAGGGAGGGAACAGCUGCUUGGCUGCAUCUGGGUCCCAGGCUGGCAGGCUUUGCUUCUGGGGAGAGCGCCACCUCCCCCCUGUGCGAGUGCUGGCAGGCGGCCCUAGAUCGGCUGUCCUUGCUGACCUGUUUGUGCCCUGUGCGUCCGCACAGAGCCACAGCCGGGGUCCCUGCAGACACUGCCCCCUGCACGGCCUCCUGCACCCUCAGCAGCCGCACAGAGAGAGCUGCUCGGUCAGGGCGCACCGGGUGUCCGCUCCCGCCUGCACAGCCGCCGGCCCGCCCGCCCGCAGGAGGGGUGGCCUGCCACCCCUCCUCCAGCCAUGUGCCCUCCUCAGCCUGUGGAAUGCGCCGCCGGGGCCGGCCCCACAGCGCCUGGCCGGCAACUCACGGAGUGCGCUGAGCCCAGCCACCCCAACCGUCCUGCCGGGUGCAGCUGCCACCCCGAGCCCAGCGGCCCCGGCCAGGCCCAGCCCCGAGAGCAAGAGCCAGAGCGAGGUGCCUGGCCCGGGCCCUGGCAGCCCACGCGAGCCGACAUGCGGCUCCGCGAGCUGUCGCUGCGCCAGGACCCCAACCUGAGGCAGGAGCUGGCCUCACUGGCCCGCGGCUGCGACUUCGUCUGCCCUCCCGCUUCAAGAAGAGGCUCAAGGCCUUCCAGCAGGUCCAGGUCUGCCGCAUGUCACCCCCCGG